CCUACGGGGGGCUGCAGUGGGGAAUAUUGGGCAAUGGGCGCAAGCCUGACCCAGCAACGCCGCGUGAAGGAAGAAGGCUUUCGGGUUGGAAACUUCUUUUAACAGGGACGAAGCAAGUGACGGUAGCGGAUGAAUAAGCAAGGGCUAACUACGAGCCAGCAGCCGCGGUAAUACGUAGGUGGCAAGCGUUAACCGGAUUUACUGGGUGUAAAGGGCGGGUAGGCGGGAGUGCAAGUCAGAUGUGAAAACCCUGGGCUCAACCCAUAGCCUGCAUUUGAAACUGUACUUCUUGAGUGCUGGAGCGGCUAUCGGAAUUCCGUGUGUAGCGGUGACAUGCGUAGAUAUCCGGAGGAACACCAGUGGCGAAGGCGGAUUGCUGGACAGUAACUGACGCUGUGGCUCGACAGCGUGGGUAGCAAACAGGAUUAGAUACCCUUGUAGUC
rnacentral:rRNA from 1 species